rnacentral:rRNA from 1 species
GGCGGCGUGCCUAAUACAUGCAAGUCGAGCGAACGGACGAGAAGCUUGCUUCUCUGAUGUUAGCGGCGGACGGGUGAGUAACACGUGGAUAACCUACCUAUAAGACUGGGAUAACUUCGGGAAACCGUAGCUAAUACCGGAUAAUAUUUUGAACCGCAUGGUUCAAAAGUGAAAGACGGUCUUGCUGUCACUUAUAGAUGGAUCCGCGCUGCAUUAGCUAGUUGGUAAGGUAACGGCUUACCAAGGCAACGAUGC